GGCGCUAUGGUGUAGUGGCAGCACAUGGGAUUUUGAUUUAUUCAAAUUUCCCAUAACCCAGGUUCGAACCCUGGUAGUGCCU